rnacentral:rRNA from 1 species
UACGUAGGGUGCGAGCGUUAAUCGGAAUUACUGGGCGUAAAGCGUGCGCAGGCGGUUCGCCAAGUCAGGUGUGAAAUCCCCGGGCUUAACCUGGGAAUUGCGCUUGAAACUAACGGGCUCGAGUGUGGCAGAGGGGGGUGGAAUUCCACGUGUAGCAGUGAAAUGCGUAGAGAUGUGGAGGAACACCGAUGGCGAAGGCAGCCCCCUGGGCUAACACUGACGCUCAGGCACGAAAGCGUGGGGAGCAAACAGG